rnacentral:rRNA from 1 species
UACGUAGGUGGCAAGCGUUGUCCGGAAUUAUUGGGCGUAAAGCGCGCGCAGGCGGUCCUUUAAGUCUGAUGUGAAAUCCCGGGGCUCAACCCCGGAACUGCAUUGGAUACUGCCUUGCUAGAGUACUGGAGAGGGAACUGGAAUUUACGGUGUAGCAGUGAAAUGCGUAGAGAUCGUAAGGAAGGCCAGUGGCGAAGGCGAGUUCCUGGACAGUUACUGACGCUGAGGCACGAAGGCCAGGGGAGCAAACGGG